rnacentral:rRNA from 1 species
UACGUAGGGACCAAGCGUUGUUCGGAUUUACUGGGCGUAAAGGGCGCGUAGGCGGCGUGUUAAGUCACUUGUGAAAUCUCUAAGCUUAACUUAGAACGGUCAAGUGAUACUGAUGUGCUAGAGUGCAGAAGGGGCAACCGGAAUUCUUGGUGUAGCGGUGAAAUGCGUAGAUAUCAAGAGGAACACCUGAGGUGAAGACGGGUUGCUGGGCUGACACUGACGCUGAGGCGCGAAAAGCUAGGGGUAGCAAAACGGGG